CACUCUUAAAAGAUAAAAUUAGAUUAAUAGGGCCUAUUCUCUCUGUAGAUGUGGCACAUGCACAUAAACCGGAUCCUUAGCCCUAUAUUUCUUGAAACGAUGAAUAGACCCAGCUCCAAGUAGGACUAUCUUAAAAUCACAAAUCGGGACAGAUCGAGAUGCGGGACUAACGUCUAUCGAACUCCGGCUUAACUGCUUUCAGAUCUGGAGGAUACCCUUACAAGUCAUCGGUUAAAGCGUAUAGAACCGACAUUAGCUGUUAUCUGGGAAACAAGGGUGUCUAUCUCGCCAUGUGACGUCACAUUGUCCAGAAACAUCAUCUGUCGGAACAGACGUUAAGUUGGGAGGAUGCUUCACUUGACGAGGGGAUUAAAAGGCUAGAACGGUGUAAAAACCUGUAAAAUUGUUCGCCAUAUUAAGAAUGUCUAUGGUUAUCUAUAAAGCUCAAAUAAGAAUUUCAAUUAAAAAAAUUAAUGACAUUAAAUGAAAAAUGCAUUAAGAUAAUUAAAUAUAUGUACUUUAUAUUUAUUAUCCUAACAUCGACUUAUUUAAACAGGAAAGUAGGCCUGUGUGUUUAUAAAAAUCAUGCAAAUUAUUAGUUGCAUUAGCAGUUUUUAAGGAUAUACACCUCUUUUUUUCUUCCCCUUAGAAGAUUUAUCCCGCGGCUAUUAUUCGAAGUCAUAGUUCUUAAUUGAUGGACUGGCCAAAGAAUCAUUAAUUUCAAUUAUGCC